CGCAGCCGCGGUAAUUCCAGCUCCAAUAGCGUAUAUUAAAGUUGUUGCAGUUAAAAGCUCGUAGUUGAAUUUCGAGAUUGGCGUAUCGGUCGUGCCUUAAUUGGCAUGUACUGGUAGUUGUCAAUCUCCACCUUCUAGCGAACUGCUAUGCCUUUUACUAGGUGUAGUAGGGAGCUAGGACUGUUACUUUGAAAAAUUGAGUGUUUAAAGCAGGCUUUAUGCUUGAAUACAUUAGCAUGGAAUAAUGAAAUAGGACGGUAUGAUUCUAUUUUGUUGGUUUCUAGGAUCACCGUAAUGAUUAAUAGGGAUAGUUGGGGGCAUUAGUAUUCAAUUGUCAGAGGUGAAAUUCUUGGAUUUUAUUGAAGACUAACUACUGCGAAAGCAUUUGCCAAGGAUGUUUUCAUUAAUCAAGAACGAAAGUUAGGGAUCGAAGAC
rnacentral:rRNA from 1 species